rnacentral:lncRNA from 1 species
GGGGGGGCGGGGAUGAAAUUUGAAAAAAAUAGGCAGGACAGGAGUUUUGAGUAAAAAAAAAAGGCAGGAUGACAAUUUGUGUAAAAAAAGUCAGGAUAAACUAGUAAAAAAAAAAGGCAGGACCGAAUAGAGUAAAAAAUAAAAAGGCAGGACAGAGAUUACAACUAAAAAAAAAAGCAGGACAAAAUUUUUCAUCCUAGCCCCCCCAUAAAAUCAAA